rnacentral:rRNA from 1 species
CAUUACCGAACCGUCGACACGAGUUGUUGCUGGUCCUCAAAUGGGGGCAUGUGCACGCUCUGUUUGCACAUCCACUCACACCUGUGCACCCUCCAUAGUUCUAUAGCCGUUGGGGCUCUGUCCCCCCCUGCUGUGGUUCUAUGCAUUUACACACACACACUGUAAUAAAGUCUCAUGGAAUGUAUGCCGCGUUUAACGCAAUACAAUACAACUUUCAGCAACGGAUCUCUUGGCUCUCGCAUCGAUGAAGAACGCAGCGAAAUGCGAUAAGUAAUGUGAAUUGCAGAAUUCAGUGAAUCAUCGAAUCUUUGAACGCACCUUGCGCCCUUUGGCUAUUCCGAAGGGCAUGCCUGUUUGAGUAUCAUGAACACCUCAACUCUUCAUGGCUUGCCAUGAUGAGCUUGGACUAUGGGGGUCUUGCUGGCCUGCGGUCGGCUCCUCUCAAAUGAAUCAGCUUGCCAGUGUUUGGUGGCGUCACAGGUGUGAUAACUAUCUAUGCUUGUGGCUUUCCACCAGGUAACCUUCAGCGAUGGAGGUUCGCUGGGGCUCAUAAACGUCUCUCCUCAGUGAGGACAGCUCUUUGAACGUUUGAUCUCAAAUCAGGUAGGACUACCCGCUGAACUUAAGCAUAUCAAUA